rnacentral:misc_RNA from 1 species
CUUAUCAAUCCAUAAUUUAUAAAACAGGUUACRAUUUGGUAGAUUUUACACCUACCCAUUUUUUGGAAAUGAAAGAUAUAAACAAUAGAAAUAUUAAAUCAAUAGAAAUAUUAAAUCUUUACUUUAUCUUUAUCCAAAAAAAUUUUUGGUGNAAAAAAUUAUUUAUAAUCCNUAUUUUUCAAAAUAAAAAAAAAANCUGAAAAAANUGGAGAAUUUCUACUACUUAGUUUAGAAAAAAAAANUCGUCUUUUUUCUAUAUUAAUUUUUAAAAAUUAACGAGAAUCAAGUGUAUUAAUCCUCUAGGUAUACUUACGCAAUAUACCUUUAUUUAUAUUAUAUUUUNAUAAACCUCCAGGUAUACUUACCCNAAUAGAGAUAUUUUAGAGACUACUAUACUCUAGUAGUAUAUUUUUUUCCUUACCCAAUAUAUUAGUCUAAAAAACUAAUAUAUUGGGUAUAUUGGGUAUUUAUCAAAUUAAUAUUCAAAUUUUUAAUAUAAUGAACAAUUCAAAAGAUCUAG